ACUGGGGUGGCAGAGCAUGGUUAAUUGCGAAAGGCCUAAGCCCUUUUACCCGGGGGUUCAAAUCCUCUCCCCAGUU
rnacentral:tRNA from 1 species